rnacentral:rRNA from 1 species
AUUGAACGCUGGCGGCAGGCCUAACACAUGCAAGUCGAGCGCGCGGCGGACGGGGGAGUAAUGUAUGGGGACUGCCCGAUAGAGGGGGAUAACUACUGGAAACGGUGGCUAAUAAAGCAUAAUGUCGGAUAACCCAUAUGGGAUUAGCUAGUAGGUAAGGUAAUGGCUUACCUAUGCGACGGUCCCUAGCUGGUCUGAGAGGAUGAUCAGCCACACUGGGACGGAGCCCCGGCCCAGACUCCUACGGAGGCAGCAGUGGGGAAUAUUGCACAAUGGGCGCAAGCCUGAUGCAGCCAGGCCGCGUGUAUGAAGAAGGCCCUAGGGUUGUAAAGUACUUUCAGUCGGGAGGCGUUACCGACAGAAGAAGCACCGGCUAACUCCGUGCCAGCAGCCGCGGUAAUAC